rnacentral:rRNA from 1 species
CCCUACGGGCGGCAGCAGUGGGGGAUAUUGCACAAUGGAGGGAACUCUGAUGCAGCGACGCCGCGUGAGGGAAGAAGGUUUUCGGAUUGUAAACCUCUGUCUUCGGUGACGAAACGAGACGGUAGCCGAGGAGGAAGCCACGGCUAACUACGUGCCAGCAGUCGCGGUAAUACGUAGGUGGCAAGCGUUGUCCGGAAUUACUGGGUGUAAAGGGAGCGUAGGCGGGACUGCAAGUUGGGUGUCAAAUCUACCGGCUCAACCGGUAGCCGCACUCAAAACUGCCGUUCUUGAGUGAAGUAGA